rnacentral:rRNA from 1 species
UACAGAGGUCUCAAGCGUUGUUCGGAUUCAUUGGGCGUAAAGGGUGCGUAGGCGGCGCGGUAAGUCGGGUGUGAAAUCUCGGAGCUUAACUCCGAAACUGCAUUCGAUACUGCCGUGCUUGAGGACUGGAGAGGAGACUGGAAUUUACGGUGUAGCGGUGAAAUGCGUAGAUAUCGUAAGGAAGACCAGUGGCGAAGGCGGGUCUCGUGGACGAGUUC